rnacentral:rRNA from 1 species
UACAGAGGUCCCAAGCGUUGUUCGGAUUCACUGGGCGUAAAGGGUGCGUAGGUGGUUAGGCAAGUCAGUUGUGAAAUCUCCGGGCUCAACCCGGAAAUGGCAUUCGAAACUACCUUGCUAGAGGGUUUGAGGGGGGACUGGAAUACUUGGUGUAGCAGUGAAAUGCGUAGAUAUCAAGUGGAACACCAGUGGCGAAAGCGAGUCCCUGGAAAACUCCUGACACUGAGGCACGAAAGCUAGGGGAGCAAACAGG